rnacentral:rRNA from 1 species
UGGGGAAUCUUAGACAAUGGGGGAAACCCUGAUCUAGCCAUGCCGCGUGAGCGAUGAAGGCCUUAGGGUUGUAAAGCUCUUUCAGCUGGGAAGAUAAUGACGGUACCAGCAGAAGAAGCCCCGGCUAACUCCGUGCCAGCAGCCGCGGUAAUACGGAGGGGGCUAGCGUUGUUCGGAAUUACUGGGCGUAAAGCGCACGUAGGCGGAUUAGUCAGUCAGAGGUGAAAUCCCAGGGCUCAACCCUGGAACUGCCUUUGAUACUGCUAGUCUUGAGGUCGAGAGAGGUGAGUGGAAUUCCGAGUGUAGAGGUGAAAUUCGUAGAUAUUCGGAGGAACACCAGUGGCGAAGGCGGCUCACUGGCUCGAUACUGACGCUGAGGUGCGAAAGCGUGGGGAGCAAGCAGGAUUAGAUACCCUGGUAGUCCACGCCGUAAACGAUGAAUGCCAGUCGUCGGGUUGCAUGCAAUUCGGUGACACACCUAACGGAUUAAGCAUUCCGCCUGGGGAGUACGGUCGCAAGAUUAAAACUCAAAUGAAUUGACGGGGUCAUAGCUGUUUCCUG